rfam:Asaia platycodi SF2.1, WGS project CBLX01000000 data, contig: 76-74
UCAGACGGUCGGGCGAUCGCUGUUGCGCCGGUGAGAACCGUCGUGAUGGAGGAAAGUCCGGGCUCCACGGGAGAACGAUGCCGGCUAACGGCCGGCGGGGGUGACCCUAGGGAAAGUGCCACAGAAAACAAACCGCCUGCCCGGCCCUCGGGCUGCAGGCAAGGGUGAAACGGUGCGGUAAGAGCGCACCGCUCCUUCGGUAACGCGGGAGGCAGGGCAAACCCCAUCGGGAGCAAGACCGAAUAGGAAUGGCGGAUCCGUCCCUCGGGAUGGGAUCAGAGGCUCUCCCGCCUUGUCAUUCGGGUUGGUUGCGUGAGGCCGGUUGCAAGACCGGUCCCAGAGGAAUGAUCGCCCCGCUUUCAGCGGACAGAACCCGGCUUACAGACCGUCUGACACU